AACAAGAACUUUGAACUAAAAUCCACCGCCAUGGCGGCAGGGCCUACCACCCACCAAGAACAUCAAGAACCACCACAAGUCAAAUAUUUUCAGCUAUUUCAUCAACAUUCCUUUCACAUCUUUCUCUUCCUCCAUUUUCUCCUUCUCUUCUUGCUUCUCUCUGCAACUUCUCCACUUCCAUUUCCUUCCUCCAUUGCUUCACACCUUCGCGGCACUGAGAAACAGGACAGCUCUCGAAUUCUUUUGCAAACUCCAUGCAUUGUUUAAAACCAGAGAUUCAAUGUCGGAGAUCAUCUGCGCUUCUUUUAUCAGUCGUCUUCUUGGUUUUCUCCGUCUCUUUUGCCGAUCCUAGAAUCUCAGAAUCCGGCCUCUUCUGCGGCAAUCUCACGCGGCCGCCGGUGGCGAACUAUAUCCCGACGUUCGUCAAAGAAAUGGAGAAUCUCUCGCAAGCCAUCACGACUCACCACUUUGCCACUCACCAGCUCGUCAUACGCCGGCGCUCCGGCGCCAACUCCACUGGAACCCCGACGAUUUACGGCUUGGCUCAGUGCCACCACGAUCUGUCGCAAACCGAUUGCCUCCUUUGUUUCGCUGCCUCCCGCACCAGACUCCCUCGCUGCCUCCCCUCCGUUUCCGCUCGCAUCUUCCUCGACGGCUGCUUUCUCCGUUAUGACACGUACAGAUUCUACAACGAAUCGGUGUCUCCGCAGACGGAUACCUUCAAUUGCAGCCGUGAAGAGGCGCCAGUGGUGCUCAGCGAAGCGGAGCGAUCGGCGUUUGUGAGGAGUGUGGGGCACGCGAUUGGGAAUGCGAGUGGAAUAGCCGGACAGAGGGCUGAUGGUUUUGGGGCGGUCGGUGUGGAUGGAGUUUACGCGUUGGCUCAGUGUUGGGAGAGUGUAGUGAACAGUGGUGGUUGCAGAGAGUGUUUGCAGAAAGCUGCCAUGGUGCUGAGAGGUUGUGGGUCGAAGAAGGAAGGGAGAGCCAUGAUUGUCGGCUGUUACGUGAGGUACUCAACUUACAAGUUCUAUAAUGAUGAGGGAAAAAACGGGGAAGGCCAUGGGUUGUGUGGUAAAGGGUUCAUCAUAGCAAUUGUAUUGGCAAUAGUUGCAUUCUUGAUGCUGUCUCUCUUUGGAGCUUAUGCUGGUUAUGCAAAAAUAUCAAAGAUAAGAAAAGAAAACAACAAUCUUGGGCUGGUUUCAACCAGCUUUCACAAGUCAAAUCUAAAGUUCAAGUAUGAAACCUUGGAAAAGGCAACAGAUUAUUUCAGUGCUUCAAGGAAAGUAGGGCAAGGAGGUGCUGGAUCGGUGUUCAUGGGGAUUCUUCCAAAUGGGAAAACUGUGGCUGUCAAGAGGUUGAUUUUCAACACCAGGCAAUGGGUUGAUGAGUUUUUCAAUGAGGUGAAUUUGAUAAGUGGAAUUCAUCACAAGAACCUUGUGCAGCUUCUUGGUUGCAGCAUUGAAGGCCCUGAAAGUCUCCUGGUCUACGAGUAUGUGCAAAACAAGAGCCUAGAUCAAUUCAUUUUUGAUGAGAACAAAACAAGGCUUCUAACUUGGAGGCAGAGGCUUAAUAUCAUAACUGGGACGGCAAAGGGACUUGCAUAUCUUCAUGGAGGCUGUCAUGUAAGAAUUAUUCAUAGAGACAUAAAGAGCAGUAACGUACUUCUUGAUGAGGAUUUUAAUCCAAAGAUUGCUGAUUUUGGACUGGCUCGGUGUUUUGCUGCUGACAAGACUCAUCUCAGCACUGGAGUUGCAGGAACACUUGGGUACAUGGCUCCUGAGUAUCUCAUUAGGGGACAACUCACGGAGAAAGCAGAUGUAUAUAGUUUUGGGAUUCUGGUUCUUGAGAUUGUCAGUGGUAGGAGGAACAGUACCUUUGCAGAGUACUCAAGUCCCCUGCUACAAACAGUUUGGAAACUUCACAGAUCAAAUAGACUAGCCGAAGCCAUUGACCCUCGUCUGAGACCCGAGUUUUCUGAGGAAGAAGCAUGUCAUGUGCUGCUAAUUGGACUUCUAUGUACGCAAGCUACUGUUUCUCUAAGACCAUCCAUGAAAGAAGUAAUCUUGAUGCUAACUGACCGAGAUUAUGAGAUCCCUAUGCCAAGUCAACCUCCUUUUCUGAAUGCCCCUGUGCUAGAACAACCGCCAAGUUCCAUAAGGUCUAAUAGUUCGAACAGUUUAGUGUCAAAUCCAGCAACAAAAGUCGAAGCUUCCUACACUUCGUCAGAGUCCUAUAGUACACACAGCUCUUACGAACAAUGAUCAAGGAAAGAGUUAAGUUCAGAAGUUGUAAAUCCAAAAAGAUGAUCCCCAUAAUUUGUCAGUGGCUUCUGAUUUUAGUUGAAUCUUUUGCAGGCUGCAGUGUUCUGUUGUUACAUGAUAUAUCAGAAAAUUAUUAAGCGGUUCCAGACUACCUUUAACAUGGUUCACCAUUAAUAUUUAUUGGGUCAUCUCAGUUCCGAUCAGAAAAUUAUGGUGAUAAUCUGACAAAAAAUUUAGUAUUAUGUCCUAACAAAAAGCUGAGGUGAUCCAAUCAAAACUGGGAGGUGCAUCAUCUCGGCCUUGUUUCUGGACUACCCGAUAAUUUCUCCAAUCGAUCGGCCAGAAACAGCAACAUCAAAUCUCAGCAUAAAUGCGGGAGACAGCGAAGAAGGACCCACAAUUUUGCUUUCCACCUUCUUGUCAUAAGUACAAGUUGGUCCACAGAUCUCCCAGUCUCUCCCAAUUAUAAAUGGUGGUGGUUGCUGGGGACCUACUUACAUAAAGAUUCACUUUAAUUUCAGUGUGACUGUUGUACAACAGCUACAUCUUCUACACGUCACAGGUCUUUACUAAAUCUAACCCUAAAUCUCAGUCCAGUCAUUAUCCUAUAUUUAAGAGAACAAUUAGGGUUUGUUGUCACUGAUGUUAUGAUAUUUACACAGUUUAAUAAUAUUGCAAGAAUCAUGCUUUUUAUUA